rnacentral:rRNA from 1 species
UACGGAGGGUGCAAGCGUUAUCCGGUUUCACUGGGUUUAAAGGGUGCGUAGGUGGGCAGGUAAGUCCGUGGUGAAAUCUCCAAGCUUAACUUGGAAACUGCCGUGGAUACUAUUUGUCUUGAAUAUAGUGGAGGUGAGCGGAAUAUGUCAUGUAGCGGUGAAAUGCUUAGAUAUGACAUAGAACACCCAUUGCGAAGGCAGCUCGCUACACUAUUAUUGACGCUGAGGCACGAAAGCGUGGGGAUCAAACAGG